rnacentral:rRNA from 1 species
GGUUAAGCGACUAAGCGUACACGGUGGAUGCCCUGGCAGUCAGAGGCGAUGAAGGGCGUGCUAAUCUGCGAUAAGCGCCGGUAAGGUGAUAUGAACCGUUAUAACCGGCGAUACCCGAAUGGGGAAACCCAGUGUGAUUCGUCACACUAUCAUUAACUGAAUCCAUAGGUUAAUGAGGCGAACCGGGGGAACUGAAACAUCUAAGUACCCCGAGGAAAAGAAAUCAACCGAGAUUCCCCCAGUAGCGGCGAGCGAACGGGGAGGAGCCCAGAGCCUGAAUCAGCAUGUGUGUUAGUGGAAGCGUCUGGAAAGGCGCGCGAUACAGGGUGACAGCCCCGUACACAAAAGCGCAUGUGCUGUGAGCUCGAUGAGUAGGGCGGGACACGUGGUAUCCUGUCUGAAUAUGGGGGGACCAUCCUCCAAGGCUAAAUACUCCUGACUGACCGAUAGUGAACCAGUACCGUGAGGGAAAGGCGAAAAGAACCCCGGCGAGGGGAGUGAAAAAGAACCUGAAACCGUGUACGUACAAGCAGUGGGAGCACAGGUUUACCUGUGUGACUGCGUACCUUUUGUAUAAUGGGUCAGCGACUUAUAUUCUGUAGCAAGGUUAACCGAAUAGGGGAGCCGGAGGGAAACCGAGUCUUAAUUGGGCGUUAAGUUGCAGGGUAUAGACCCGAAACCCGGUGAUCUAGCCAUGGGCAGGUUGAAGGUUGGGUAACACUAACUGGAGGACCGAACCGACUAAUGUUGAAAAAUUAGCGGAUGACCUGUGGCUGGGGGUGAAAGGCCAAUCAAACCGGGAGAUAGCUGGUUCUCCCCGAAAGCUAUUUAGGUAGCGCCUCGUGAAUUCAUCUCCGGGGGUAGAGCACUGUUUCGGCUAGGGGGCCAUCCCGGCUUACCAACCCGAUGCAAACUGCGAAUACCGGAGAAUGUUAUCACGGGAGACACACGGCGGGUGCUAACGUCCGUCGUGAAGAGGGAAACAACCCAGACCGCCAGCUAAGGUCCCAAAGUCAUGGUUAAGUGGGAAACGAUGUGGGAAGGCCCAGACAGCCAGGAUGUUGGCUUAGAAGCAGCCAUCAUUUAAAGAAAGCGUAAUAGCUCACUGGUCGAGUCGGCCUGCGCGGAAGAUGUAACGGGGCUAAACCAUGCACCGAAGCUGCGGCAGCGAACGUAUCACUUAAAGCGAUUCAGCGGAUGACGAUUGACGGAGCGAAGCGACGUCAAAGCGUAUACAAAGUCGAGUCGGUUUAAGGAUACGUUCGUUGGGUAGGGGAGCGUUCUGUAAGCCUGUGAAGGUGGCCUGUGAGGGUUGCUGGAGGUAUCAGAAGUGCGAAUGCUGACAUAAGUAACGAUAAAGCGGGUGAAAAGCCCGCUCGCCGGAAGACCAAGGGUUCCUGUCCAACGUUAAUCGGGGCAGGGUGAGUCGACCCCUAAGGCGAGGCCGAAAGGCGUAGUCGAUGGGAAACAGGUUAAUAUUCCUGUACUUGGUGUUACUGCGAAGGGGGGACGGAGAAGGCUAUGUUGGCCGGGCGACGGUUGUCCCGGUUUAAGCGUGUAGGCUGGUUUUCCAGGCAAAUCCGGAAAAUCAAGGCUGAGGCGUGAUGACGAGGCACUACGGUGCUGAAGCAACAAAUGCCCUGCUUCCAGGAAAAGCCUCUAAGCAUCAGGUAACAUCAAAUCGUACCCCAAACCGACACAGGUGGUCAGGUAGAGAAUACCAAGGCGCUUGAGAGAACUCGGGUGAAGGAACUAGGCAAAAUGGUGCCGUAACUUCGGGAGAAGGCACGCUGACACGUAGGUGAAGUGAUUUACUCAUGGAGCUGAAGUCAGUCGAAGAUACCAGCUGGCUGCAACUGUUUAUUAAAAACACAGCACUGUGCAAACACGAAAGUGGACGUAUACGGUGUGACGCCUGCCCGGUGCCGGAAGGUUAAUUGAUGGGGUCAGCGCAAGCGAAGCUCCUGAUCGAAGCCCCGGUAAACGGCGGCCGUAACUAUAACGGUCCUAAGGUAGCGAAAUUCCUUGUCGGGUAAGUUCCGACCUGCACGAAUGGCGUAAUGAUGGCCAGGCUGUCUCCACCCGAGACUCAGUGAAAUUGAACUCGCUGUGAAGAUGCAGUGUACCCGCGGCAAGACGGAAAGACCCCGUGAACCUUUACUAUAGCUUGACACUGAACAUUGAGCCUUGAUGUGUAGGAUAGGUGGGAGGCUUUGAAGUGUGGACGCCAGUCUGCAUGGAGCCGACCUUGAAAUACCACCCUUUAAUGUUUGAUGUUCUAACGUGGACCCGUAAUCCGGGUUGCGGACAGUGUCUGGUGGGUAGUUUGACUGGGGCGGUCUCCUCCUAAAGAGUAACGGAGGAGCACGAAGGUUGGCUAAUCCUGGUCGGACAUCAGGAGGUUAGUGCAAUGGCAUAAGCCAGCUUGACUGCGAGCGUGACGGCGCGAGCAGGUGCGAAAGCAGGUCAUAGUGAUCCGGUGGUUCUGAAUGGAAGGGCCAUCGCUCAACGGAUAAAAGGUACUCCGGGGAUAACAGGCUGAUACCGCCCAAGAGUUCAUAUCGACGGCGGUGUUUGGCACCUCGAUGUCGGCUCAUCACAUCCUGGGGCUGAAGUAGGUCCCAAGGGUAUGGCUGUUCGCCAUUUAAAGUGGUACGCGAGCUGGGUUUAGAACGUCGUGAGACAGUUCGGUCCCUAUCUGCCGUGGGCGCUGGAGAACUGAGGGGGGCUGCUCCUAGUACGAGAGGACCGGAGUGGACGCAUCACUGGUGUUCGGGUUGUCAUGCCAAUGGCACUGCCCGGUAGCUAAAUGCGGAAGAGAUAAGUGCUGAAAGCAUCUAAGCACGAAACUUGCCCCGAGAUGAGUUCUCCCUGAGACUUAGAGUCUCCUGAAGGAACGUUGAAGACGACGACGUUGAUAGGCCGGGUGUGUAAGCGCAGCGAUGCGUUGAGCUAACCGGUACUAAUGAACCGUGAGGCUUAACCUU